AAACUAUCAAGUGUUAGUACAUCUUAACAGCAGGACGGUAGCCAUGGAAGUCAGAAUCCACUAAGGACUGUGUAACAACUCACCUGCCGAAUGUCUAUCGAAAUGUAUGGCGAUGAA
rnacentral:ncRNA from 1 species